rnacentral:rRNA from 1 species
UACGGGGGGGGGCAAGCGUUGUUCGGAAUUACUGGGCGUAAAGGGCUCGUAGGUGGCCAACUAAGUCAGACGUGAAAUCCCUCGGCUUAACCGGGGAACUGCGUCUGAUACUGGAUGGCUUGAGUUUGGGAGAGGGACGCGGAAUUCCAGGUGUAGCGGUGAAAUGCGUAGAUAUCUGGAGGAACACCGGUGGCGAAGGCGGCGUCCUGGACCAACACUGACACUGAGGAGCGAAAGCCAGGGGAGCAAAGCGGG